rnacentral:tRNA from 1 species
GCCUGGGUGGCUCAGUCGGUUAAGCGUCCGACUUCGGAUCGGGUCAUGAUCUCAUGGCGUGUGAGUUCGAGCCCCGCGUCGGGCC